rnacentral:rRNA from 1 species
GGGGGGACGAGGGUGACGAGUGGUGUCAUGGUUGUCGUCAGCUCGUGUCGUGAGAUGUUGGGUUAAGUCCCGCAACGAGCGCAACCCUCGACCUUAGUUGCCAGCAUUCAGUUGGGCACUCUAAGGUGACUGCCGGCUAAAAGUCGGAGGAAGGUGGGAUGACGUCAAAUCAUCAUGCCCUUAUGACCUGGGCUACACACGUGCUACAAUGGGCGGUACAAAGGGUCGCGAACCCGCGAGGGGGAGCCAAUCCCAAAAAGCCGCUCUCAGUUCGGAUUGCAGGCUGCAACUCGCCUGCAUGAAGCCGGAAUCGCUAGUAAUCGCGGAUCAGCAUGCCGCGGUGAAUACGUUCCCGGGCCUU